rnacentral:rRNA from 1 species
CCUACGGGAGGCUGCAGUGGGGAAUAUUGCGCAAUGGGCGAAAGCCUGACGCAGCGACGCCGCGUGAGGGAUGAAGGUCUUCGGAUCGUAAACCUCUGUCAGCAGGGAAGAACGGUCACUGUGCUAAUCAGCAGUGAAUUGACGGUACCUGCAAAGGAAGCACCGGCUAACUCCGUGCCAGCAGCCGCGGUAAUACGGAGGGUGCGAGCGGUAAUCGGAAUUACUGGGCGUAAAGCGCUCGUAGGCGGUAUGUCAAGUCAAGGGUGAAAUCCCCGCGCUCAACGUGGGAACUGCCUUUGAAACUGGCAGACUGGAGAGUGUGAGAGGUAAGUGGAAUGCGCGGUGUAGCGGUGAAAUGCGUAGAUAUCUGGAAGAACAUCGGUGGCGAAGGCGGCUAUCUGGCACAUAACUGACGCUGAGGAGCGAAAGCGUGGGUAGCGAACAGGAUUAGAUACCCCUGUAGUC